rnacentral:rRNA from 1 species
CCGUGAACGUUGGGACUAGUUGUGGGGUCCUUUCACGGAUUCCGUGACGCAGCUAACGCAUUAAGUUCCCCGCCUGGGGAGUACGGCCGCAAGGCUAAAACUCAAAGGAAUUGACGGGGACCCGCACAAGCGGCGGAGCAUGCGGAUUAAUUCGAUGCAACGCGAAGAACCUUACCAAGGCUUGACAUACACGAGAACGGGCCAGAAAUGGUCAACUCUUUGGACACUCGUGAACAGGUGGUGCAUGGUUGUCGUCAGCUCGUGUCGUGAGAUGUUGGGUUAAGUCCCGCAACGAGCGCAACCCUCGUUCUAUGUUGCCAGCACGUAAUGGUGGGAACUCAUGGGAUACUGCCGGGGUCAACUCGGAGGAAGGUGGGGAUGACGUCAAAUCAUCAUGCCCCUUAUGUCUUGGGCUUCACGCAUGCUACAAUGGCCGGUACAAAGGGCUGCGAUACCGUAAGGUGGAGCGAAUCCCAAAAAGCCGGUCCCAGUUCGGAUUGAGGUCUGCAACUCGACCUCAUGAAGUCGGAGUCGCUAGUAAUCGCAGAUCAGCAACGCUGCGGUGAAUACGUUCCCGGGUCUUGUACACACCGCCCGUCAAGUCAUGAAAGUCGGUAACACCUGAAGCCGGUGGCCUAACCCCUUGUGGGAGGGAGCUGUCGAAGGUGGGAUCGGUAAUUAGGACUAAGCGUAA